rnacentral:rRNA from 1 species
UACGUAGGGGGCAAGCGUUAUCCGGAUUUACUGGGUGUAAAGGGAGCGUAGACGGCAGUGCAAGUCUGAAGUGAAAGGCAAGGGCUCAACCCUUGGACUGCUUUGGAAACUGUGCUGCUGGAGUGUCGGAGAGGCAAGUGGAAUUCCUAGUGUAGCGGUGAAAUGCGUAGAUAUUAGGAGGAACACCAGUGGCGAAAGCGGCUCUCUGGCCUGUAACUGACACUGAGGCUCGAAAGCGUGGGGAGCAAACAGG